rfam:Triticum aestivum genome assembly, contig: Triticum_aestivum_CS42_TGACv1_scaffold_398295_5AS
GGAUGCAAUCAUACCAUCACUAAAGCACCGGAUCCCAUGAGAACUUCGAAGUUACGCGUGCUUGGUCGAUAGUAGUACUAGGAUGAGUGACCUCCUGCGAAGUCCUCGUGUUGCAUUCC